UGGGGAAUAUUGCACAAUGGGGCAAGCCUGAUGCAGCCAUGCCGCGUGUAUGAAGAAGGCCUUCGGGUUGUAAAGCACUUUCAGCGGGGAGGAAGGCGUUAAGGUUAAUAACCUUGGCGAUUGACGUUACCCGCAGAAGAAGCACCGGCUAACUCCGUGCCAGCAGCCGCGGUAAUACGGAGGGUGCAAGCGUUAAUCGGAAUUACUGGGCGUAAAGCGCACGCAGGCGGUCUGUCAAGUCGGAUGUGAAAUCCCCGGGCUCAACCUGGGAACUGCAUUCGAAACUGGCAGGCUAGAGUCUUGUAGAGGGGGGUAGAAUUCCAUGUGUAGCGGUGAAAUGCGUAGAGAUGUGGAGGAAUACCGGUGGCGAAGGCGGCCCCCUGGACAAAGACUGACGCUCAGGUGCGAAAGCGUGGGGAGCAAACAGG
rnacentral:rRNA from 1 species